rnacentral:lncRNA from 1 species
ACUGUGUCUAGCUUUUGAACUUCCAAAGAUGGCUAGACUAGGACUAGAGAUAAUGAUCAGUCAUAAAGAGUUGUGGAAGUUAGUCAUUGUUGGUGUCUUGAUCAGAAUGUAUCUCUAAUGUGUUAUUUGCAAACUGAGAACAACAAGGUAAUUCUUUCCAUUGAUUCAAUAUUUGGUGUUUUUAAAUUCUUGUUGUAUUCAGUCGCCAUGCCUUCAGCCACUUUAUGUUUUGUCCAGCCUUUAACUUAUUUGAAUAGGUAACUAAAUCUCUAUUGUAUUAUCUGAACUCAGAUUCAUACUCGAUUUGAGGACAAGCUUCUCUGUGGCGAUCAUGAAGGUUGAAUUUACCCAUUGC